CCGGGCCUGGCAGAGGGGACGCGGCGCCCAAGCCGCUCCUCCGGAUGGCGACAGAGACGGCCUGACGCGCCCGCAGCCUGGGCCCCCCACGGGGAGGACGGCCGGGCCAGGUGAAGUUCGCGCACUUGGGCCUUCCGCGCCCCCAUCCACCGCAGCCAGGGCCUGGAAGGCUGGGGAGGGGGCGGGGGCGGCAGACGCCUCCUAAGGUGGGUUCUGGGACUUGGAUCCGGAGUUUAUUCCAAGGAGAGGGUGCUCUGGGCCUGUUCCCUAGGUGUGCCCUGUUACCCAAAAUCGGGCUUGUGCAGUGGGGUCCCUGAGUCCACUGGGAGCACAGCCUCAGACCCCAGCAGAGUCACCCUUCAUCGGAAGCCCACCACCCUGAGGGCUCCUCCUCCACCUGGGGCGGCACUGCCAGGCACAGGCACGCACUUUCCCUCAGUCCUCUGCCCCACGAUCACUCUACUCGGGCACCUCUGCCACUGCCUGGUCCUUGCUGAGCCAUCUCCUGGUUCAUCUCCCUGGAGUCCCUGCAGGACCGGCUCUCAGUGGCGUCUCCGGGCUCCCAGUCCCAGGACUGGUCCUAUCCAGGUACAACUUGAGCUCUCAUCUACAUAACUGAAGGCUGCACCCAGGGCUGUAAAGAGUGAAAAUGCAUUGCCGAAGCAUGAGCACCUCCUGCAGUUCUCAGUAGACAUUUGGGAAGCGAGUGAACCGCCCUGUAUGGAGUGUUUGGAGGAGGUCGGAGGGUGUCGGGCCUGAGCCAGGGGCUGCCCUGGGCCUGUGUCGGGUGGCGCAUGCCAGAGGAAUGAGAUGGGAAGGGCAUGCACGCGGGGUCUUGGCAGCCCUGGAGCUGGCCUAGAUGCAGCAGCUUUCUGAUAAAGCGAAAUUGUUCCAUCGGCUUGCCAUGCUUUGCUUAGCCAUCCGCACUUCACUGUUGGGCGAAAGAAGAUUUUAAAGAACACCCUUAGCAGAUGUCAGAGUUUGGGAUUUGGGGUCCAUGAUACCCAAAUAAGAUUCCACUUGAAGAAAGUAACACGAAUUGCUUUCAACACAUCAAUCAACAAAGAGCAUUGAUGGAUGAAGAGGACAUUGAUAAAUGGGAUGUCUUUUUGCUGAAACUCUAACUUACAGUAAAGGGGGGAAACUCACAGAAGCCCAGUGGAAGCUUCUGGAGCCAGGAGCUACACUGACUCUCUCCGCAGAGGGUGUGGAGGGGUAGGCGGCAGUCAGCCCCCAGCCCAGAGUGGAGGGCACCUGGGCACAUGUGUGAUCAGAGCCCACAUGGAGGGAGGCCAGGGUCCAGCUUCCCUUCACUCUGGGAACAUGGGAGGCCCUGUCCCCAGGCCAUGGCACACAGAGGGAGGAGCAGGAGCUCUGGCAGCCUCAGAGGUGUGUGCCAGGCCGCAGCCUAUUGGAAAUUCCUCAGGAGUGCAUGGCCUGGGGUCCCCCAGCCUGCGGGAGGCAGAGGGGGCGAGGCCAGGUCCCCCGGCCUGUGGGAGGCAGAGGGGGCGAGGCCACGUCCACCAGUCCGAAGCCUGUCCUGCCCAGCUUGCUGUGUGACUCUGGCCUCGGGGGGAACAUUAUCUGAAAUGUACAUAGUGGAAUCCAGGCAGUGUUCACCCCUUCCCUCUGUGCCCUCCGUGGUCUUCUGUGACCUGGGAUUUGUUGGUCAUUGGCAGAAACAGAAGAUGCAUUAUUAUUACUGUAAAAGGUAAAGUUGUCCCCUAACUGGCUCAACUGUCCGAAGACCCCCCUGCUUUUUCUGCUUUUCCUUGUGACUCAGCCUGGUCUUUCUUCUUCCAGGGUGGCAUCCCACUGACUCCUACGCAGCCCCACCCUGGUUCCCUCACUCCCAGGUUCCUGGUCCCUCAGGGUCCUAGGGCUGAGUCCUCCAUAGCCCCCACACACAGCCCAGAGCUGGGACUGACCCACGGCAUAGGACAAACUCCUCCAGGCCUCUGAGAGAACUCCUGGGCUUUCAUCUACAUGAUUCAGAAAGAAUCUUUUUUCUCUUUCAAAUGUUAAUGUUUUUAAUUUCCUUUUUUUUUUCAUUUUUCAUUAUAACUGCUAAGAUUUUUCUAAUUGGCAUGCCAACUGCUUGCAGACUUGACCUGUUUCUUGCAAAAAAAGAAAAUCGCUUAAUCAUUAAAUACAAUUAUUACUUCAUUCUUCUAUCUCUUCAGUCUACCAAACUAUUAUAUACUCUUGAUGAUUGUCAUUUUCGUCAAAAGAAAACUGUAUCCAGAAUCCCAUAACACUUACAAAUUAAGUGUCUUAAUUUUUCAAGUUCUUUUGGGGCUUGCCAUAUGAGUGUAUUAUUCUUGCAUAUUGCACAUUCAUUUUCUAUUAUUUUUAAUACAUAAUUCUACAAAAUAAGCAUUCUUCAUGAUAUAUAUUUGUUUGAGAAUUUCUUAAUAAAAGAUGGGAGUAUUUGUUACUUAAAAUUCUAUCACUUAAAAGCAAUUGCAAGGGUUUCCUAUGAAGACAGGAUAGAGAAUCCACCUUGUAAUAACCUCCUUUGCUCCAUACUCAUGAUGCCUCGUUCAGAAAAAAACCCAAAGAAUAGCUGGUCUCCUUAGUCCAGAGUCGGGUGCAGGUGGGCGGGGUUGAAUCCUGCCCAAUGCUGGUGACCGGAAACAUCAGAAUGGAGGGUAGAGGCAGGCUCCCUGCCUACAGUGGAGAGGUGAGGUGACCUCAUGAUAUCAGAGUGGAAACUCGCUCUAAAGUCCAGGAGCGGCUGGGUGCGGUGUCUCACGCCUGUAAUCCCAGCAUUUUGAGAGGCCGAGGCAGGUGGAUGGCCUGAGGUCAGCAGUUCGAGACAAGCUUGGCCAACAUGGUGAAACCCCAUCUCUACUAAAAAUAUACAAAAAGUUAGCUGGAUGUGGUGGCAGGCGCCUAUAGUCCCAGCUACUUUGGAGGCUGAGGCAGGUGAAUCGCUUGGACCUGGAAGGCGGAGGUUACAGUGAGCCG
rnacentral:lncRNA from 1 species